rnacentral:rRNA from 1 species
ACGGGUGAGUAAUGUCUGGGAAACUGCCUGAUGGAGGGGGAUAACUACUGGAAACGGUAGCUAAUACCGCAUAACGUCGCAAGACCAAAGAGGGGGACCUUCGGGCCUCUUGCCAUCGGAUGUGCCCAGAUGGGAUUAGCUUGUUGGUGGGGUAACGGCUCACCAAGGCGACGGUCCCUAGCUGAUCUGAGAGGAUGACCAGCCACACUGGAACUGAGACACGGUCCAGACCCCUACGGGAGGCAGCAGUGGGGAAUAUUGCACAAUGGGCGCAAGCCUGAUGCAGCCAUGCCGCGUGUAUGAAGAAGGCCUUCGGGUUGUAAAGUACUUUCAGCGGGGAGGAAGGGAGUAAAGUUAAUACCUUUGCUCAUUGACGUUACCCGCAGAAGAAGCACCGGCUAACUCCGUGCCAGCAGCCGCGGUAAUACGGAGGGUGCAAGCGUUAAUCGGAAUUACUGGGCGUAAAGCGCACGCAGGCGGUUUGUUAAGUCAGAUGUGAAAUCCCCGGGCUCAACCUGGGAACUGCAUCUGAUACUGGCAAGCUUGAGUCUCGUAGAGGGGGGUAGAAUUCCAGGUGUAGCGGUGAAAUGCGUAGAGAUCUGGAGGAAUACCGGUGGCGAAGGCGGCCCCCUGGACGAAGACUGACGCUCAGGUGCGAAAGCGUGGGGAGCAAACACGAUUAGAUACCCUGGUAGUCCGCGCCGUAAA